CCUUUACAUAUAAACUGGAGGCGGCGCCCUAACGACGGCGCACGGAGGGUUUUGCGAGCUCUGCCGCCGCAGAGGGAGAGAGAGAAGACGGAGGAGGGAGGACGGAGAACUUGAAGCGGCGAAGUCAUUCAAACGUGUGGAUACAGCAAGGAGUCCUGAGGGGAUCGUGAUGUUUCCCAAAUUUCUCAAGAUAGUUUUCAAUCUGAAUUGAAUCGACGUCGCUGCUCGUUCUCGUUCCUCUUCAAUCUCUCGAUCCCUCUUCCUCUCCUGUCUCUUCGAUCUUUGGCUGCAGGAAUGCUGCUACAGUGCUUUCCAACGCAGAAGAAUUGUUCAUUAUCUUGAUUAAAUGUGAUGGUCUUUGAGUUGAUGGUUUCUCCAGUGGCAAUAUGGUCAUAUAAAGGAGCCCGCUUAUUGAUUCCUGAGACCAUGUCUGGUAAGAAGAAAGGAAUACAGAACCAUAUGGAAUCACAGCACUGUGAAAUCAUGCAGUUCCGCAUCGUGAUCCUAGAUCCUUCUCUGCUUCUUCUGAUUACUUGAAUCGUACCGGGCAUGAUAUAUGUACAAGACAAGAAGACAGAUCCAACCUCAUGGCUUGUAUAUUGAGUCUCUUCAUAUCUCCCUUUGUUUACUGAUAGAUGUUGCAUUGCAGUACCUACCUCAUGCUGAUGUGUUCGAGAUGGCAAAGAUCCUACCUCAUGACUUGUAUCACGAGUCUCUUAUCUCCUUUUGUUUACUGAUAGAUAUUUGAGGGCCUUGCUUAGUCUGCUUCAGUUCUGAUUUCUUGCUAUUCUGAAGUACAGAAAAUUUGUUAUUACAGAGCUUUGAAAAGACAAGGAUUGAAAAUUUUCCUGUUCAUGUUUUGCGUAUGAAUCACGGUAUUUCUGAGGAGUGCUUCUUACUGGA